CGUGUAGGCGGCUUGAUAAGUCCGGUGUGAAAUCUUGGGGCUCAACCCCCAAGCCUGCAUCGGAUACUGUCUCGCUCGAGUUCGGGAGGGGAGAGCGGAAUUCCUAGUGUAGCGGUGAAAUGCGCAGAUAUUAGGAAGAACACCAGUGGCGAAGGCGGCUCUCUGGAACGAUACUGACGCUGAGACGCGAAAGCGUGGGAGCGAACA
rnacentral:rRNA from 1 species